AUUGAACGCUGGCGGCAUGCUUUACACAUGCAAGUCGAACGGCAGCGCGGGCUUCGGCCUGGCGGCGAGUGGCGAACGGGUGAGUAAUGCAUCGGAACGUGCCCAGUAGUGGGGGAUAGCCCGGCGAAAGCCGGAUUAAUACCGCAUACGACCUGAGGGUGAAAGCGGGGGACCGAAAGGCCUCGCGCUAUUGGAGCGGCCGAUGUCGGAUUAGCUAGUUGGUGGGGUAAAGGCUUACCAAGGCGACGAUCCGUAGCUGGUCUGAGAGGACGACCAGCCACACUGGGACUGAGACACGGCCCAGACUCCUACGGGAGGCAGCAGUGGGGAAUUUUGGACAAAGGGGGCAACCCUGAUCCAGCCAUGCCGCGUGCGGGAAGAAGGUCUUCGGGUUGUAAACCGCUUUUGUUCGGGAAGAAAUCCUCUGGGCUAAUACCCCGGGGGGAUGACGGUACCGGAAGAAUAAGCACCGGCUAACUACGUG
rnacentral:rRNA from 1 species